AAUGAACGCUGGCGGCAGGCCUAACACAUGCAAGUCGAGCGGAGUGGCGAACGGGUGAGUAACACGUGGGUGACCUGCUCUGCACUUCGGGAUAAGCCUGGGAAACUGGGUCAAAUACCGGAUAGUGUGGGAUGGGCCCGCGGCCUAGCAGCUUGUUGGUGGGGUUAUGGACUAGCAAGGCGGCGACGGGUGGCCGGCCUGGGAGGGUGGACGGGCACAGAGGGACUGGGAAGCGAGCCAGACUCAUACGGGGGGAAGGAGGGGAGAAUAGUGCAAGAUAGGCGGAGGGAUGGAGCAGGGACUCCGGGUGGGGGAGGACUGUCUUCGGGUAGUAAACUCCGUGCACCAUCGACGCGGUAGAUGGAGAGGAAGCACCGGCUAACUACGUGCCAGCAGCCGCGGUAAUAC
rnacentral:rRNA from 1 species